rnacentral:tRNA from 1 species
GAGGAUAUAGCUCAGUGGUAGAGAACAUGCUUACCAUGCACGAGGUCCUGGGUUCAAUCCUCAUGACCUCC